rnacentral:rRNA from 1 species
UACAGAGGUCUCGAGCGUUAGGCGGAAUCACUGGGCUUAAAGCGUGUGUAGGCGGCGGGCUAAGUACCUUGUGAAAUCCCACGGCUUAACUGUGGAACUGCUGGGUAUACUGGUUCGCUUGAGCGGUCUAGGGCGAGCGGAACAAUGGUGGAGCGGUGAAAUGCGUAGAUAUCAUUUGGAACGCCAACGGUGAAACAGCUCGCUGGGACCUGCUGCGCUGAGACACGAAAGCCAGGGAGCGAACGGG